UACGGGGGGGGCAAGCGUUGUUCGGAAUUACUGGGCGUAAAGGGCUCGUAGGCGGCCAACUAAGUCAGACGUGAAAUCCCCAGGCUCAACCUGGGAACUGCGUCUGAUACUGGAUGUCUUGAAUUCGGGAGAGGGAUGCAGAAUUCCAGGUGUAGCGGUGAAAUGCGUAGAUAUCUGGAGGAAUACCGGUGGCGAAGGCGGCAUCCUGGACCGAUAUUGACACUGAUGAGCGAAAGCCAGGGGAGCAAACGGG
rnacentral:rRNA from 1 species